rnacentral:rRNA from 1 species
ACGAACGCUGGCGGCACGCUUAACACAUGCAAGUCGAACGAGAGAAGAGAAGCUUGCUUUUCUGAUCUAGUGGCGGACGGGUGAGUAACACGUGAGCAAUCUGCCUUUCAGAGGGGGAUACCGAUUGGAAACGAUCGUUAAUACCGCAUAACAUAAUUGAACCGCAUGAUUUGAUUAUCAAAGAUUUAUCGCUGAAAGAUGAGCUCGCGUCUGAUUAGCUAGUUGGUAAGGUAACGGCUUACCAAGGCGACGAUCAGUAGCCGGACUGAGAGGUUGAUCGGCCACAUUGGGACUGAGACACGGCCCAGACUCCUACGGGAGGCAGCAGUGGGGAAUAUUGCACAAUGGAGGAAACUCUGAUGCAGCGAUGCCGCGUGAGGGAAGAAGGUUUUAGGAUUGUAAACCUCUGUCUUCAGGGACGAAAAAAGACGGUACCUGAGGAGGAAGCUCCGGCUAACUACGUGCCAGCAGCCGCGGUAAUACGUAGGGAGCGAGCGUUGUCCGGAAUUACUGGGUGUAAAGGGAGCGUAGGCGGGAUCGCAAGUCAGAUGUGAAAACUAUGGGCUUAACCCAUAAACUGCAUUUGAAACUGUGGUUCUUGAGUGAAGUAGAGGUAAGCGGAAUUCCUAGUGUAGCGGUGAAAUGCGUAGAUAUUAGGAGGAACAUCAGUGGCGAAGGCGGCUUACUGGGCUUUAACUGACGCUGAGGCUCGAAAGCGUGGGGAGCAAACAGGAUUAGAUACCCUGGUAGUCCACGCCGUAAACGAUGAUUACUAGGUGUGGGGGGACUGACCCCUUCCGUGCCGCAGCAAACGCAAUAAGUAAUCCACCUGGGGAGUACGACCGCAAGGUUGAAACUCAAAUGAAUUGACGGGGGCCCGCACAAGCAGUGGAGUAUGUGGUUUAAUUCGAAGCAACGCGAAGAACCUUACCAGGUCUUGACAUCCGAUGCAUAGCACAGAGAUGUGUGAAAUCCUUCGGGACAUCGAGACAGGUGGUGCAUGGUUGUCGUCAGCUCGUGUCGUGAGAUGUUGGGUUAAGUCCCGCAACGAGCGCAACCCUUACUGUUAGUUGCUACGCAAGAGCACUCUAGCAGGACUGCCGUUGACAAAACGGAGGAAGGUGGGGAUGACGUCAAAUCAUCAUGCCCCUUAUGACCUGGGCCUCACACGUACUACAAUGGCUGUCAACAGAGGGAAGCAAAGCCGCGAGGUGGAGCAAACCCCUAAAAGCAGUCUUAGUUCGGAUUGUAGGCUGCAACCCGCCUACAUGAAGUCGGAAUUGCUAGUAAUCGCAGAUCAGCAUGCUGCGGUGAAUACGUUCCCGGGCCUUGUACACACCGCCCGUCACGCCAUGGGAGUCGGUAACACCCGAAGCCUGUAGUCUAACCGCAAGGAGGACGCAGUCGAAGGUGGGAUUGAUGACUGGGGUG